GAUUGAACGCUGGCGGCAUGCCUUACACAUGCAAGUCGAACGGCAGCAUGAUCUAGCUUGCUAGAUUGAUGGCGAGUGGCGAACGGGUGAGUAAUACAUCGGAACGUGCCCUGUAGUGGGGGAUAACUAGUCGAAAGAUUAGCUAAUACCGCAUACGACCUGAGGGUGAAAGUGGGGGACCGCAAGGCCUCAUGCUAUAGGAGCGGCCGAUGUCUGAUUAGCUAGUUGGUGGGGUAAAGGCCCACCAAGGCGACGAUCAGUAGCUGGUCUGAGAGGACGAUCAGCCACACUGGGACUGAGACACGGCCCAGACUCCUACGGGAGGCAGCAGUGGGGAAUUUUGGACAAUGGGCGAAAGCCUGAUCCAGCAAUGCCGCGUGUGUGAAGAAGGCCUUCGGGUUGUAAAGCACUUUUGUCCGGAAAGAAAUGGCUCUGGUUAAUACCUGGGGUCGAUGACGGUACCGGAAGAAUAAGGACCGGCUAACUCCGUGCCAGCAGCCGCGGUAAUACGGAGGGUGCAAGCGUUAAUCGGAAUUACUGGGCGUAAAGCGCACGCAGGCGGUCUGUCAAGUCGGAUGUGAAAUCCCCGGGCUCAACCUGGGAACUGCAUUCGAAACUGGCAGGCUAGAGUCUUUGUAGAGGGGGGUAGAAUUCCAGGUGUAGCGGUGAAAUGCGUAGAGAUCUGGAGGAAUACCGGGUGGCGAAGGCGGCCCCCUGGGACAAAGACUGACGGCUCAGGUGCGAAAGCGUGGGGGAGCAAACAGGAUUAGAUACCCCUGGUAGUCCACGCCGUAAACGAUGUCGACUUGGAGGUUGUGCCCUGAGGCGUGGCUUCCGGAGCUAACGCGUUAAGUCGACCGCCUGGGGAGUACGGCCGCAAGGUUAAAACUCAAAUGAAUUGACGGGGGCCCGCACAAGCGGUGGAGCAUGUGGUUUAAUUCGAUGCAACGCGAAGAACCUUACCUACUCUUGACAUCCAGAGAACUUUCCAGAGAUGGAUUGGUGCCUUCGGGAACUCUGAGACAGGUGCUGCAUGGCUGUCGUCAGCUCGUGUUGUGAAAUGUUGGGUUAAGUCCCGCAACGAGCGCAACCCUUAUCCUUUGUUGCCAGCGGUUAGGCCGGGAACUCAAAGGAGACUGCCAGUGAUAAACUGGAGGAAGGUGGGGAUGACGUCAAGUCAUCAUGGCCCUUACGAGUAGGGCUACACACGUGCUACAAUGGCGCAUACAAAGAGAAGCGACCUCGCGAGAGCAAGCGGACCUCAUAAAGUGCGUCGUAGUCCGGAUUGGAGUCUGCAACUCGGGAACAUGAAGUUGGAAUCGCUAGUAAUCGCGGAUCAGCAUGCCGCGGUGAAUAUGUACCCGGGCCCUGUACACACCGC
rnacentral:rRNA from 1 species